GAGACCUACGGGAGGCAGCAGUGGGGGAUAUUGGACAAUGGGGGAAACCCUGAUCCAGCGACGCCGCGUGAGUGAAGAAGUAUUUCGGUAUGUAAAGCUCUAUCAGCAGGGAAGAAAGAAAUGACGGUACCUGAGUAAGAAGCCCCGGCUAACUACGUGCCAGCAGCCGCGGUAAUACGUAGGGGGCAAGCGUUAUCCGGAAUUACUGGGUGUAAAGGGAGCGUAGACGGUAUGGCAAGUCUGAUGUGAAAACCCGGGGCUCAACUCCGGGACUGCAUUGG
rnacentral:rRNA from 1 species